GUGCCAGCAGCCGCGGUAAGACGUAGGAUGCAAGCGUUGUCCGGAAUUAUUGGGCGUAAAGAGUUCGUAGGCGGUUGCCUAAGUCUGAUGUUAAAUACUAGAGCUCAACUCUGGCAUGGCAUUGGAAACUGGGCGGCUAGAGUGCGGUAGAGGUCACGGGAAUUCCAGGUGUAGCGGUGAAAUGCGUAGAUAUCUGGAGGAACACCGGUGGCGAAAGCGCGUGACUGGGCCGUAACUGACGCUGAGGAACGAAAGCCAGGGGAGCGAAAGGGAUUAGAUACCCCCGUAGUCC
rnacentral:rRNA from 1 species